rnacentral:rRNA from 1 species
UGAAUAUUGGACAAUGGGCGCAAGCCUGAUCCAGCCAUGCCGCGUGAGUGAUGAAGGCCUUAGGGUUGUAAAGCUCUUCACCAGAGAAGAUAAUGACGUACACAGAGC